AGGGUCAUCAACAGAUGUUACUUAUGAAUCGGAUGCAGACGUGUUACCUCCACUUCUGCGUCUUAAUCAGCCAGCUAUUGAAACCAUUUGGCUAACUGAUUCGGAUUAAUAUGGUUUUUAGGGAGGUAUUUAUUAUUGUUGAAAACAUGAACGUUAGAGAUCACUGUUAACAGAUAGAGUUGUUGGAAAUGAUUGUCAUGUGUACUCUACGCUAUGAGACUUAAAUGUUUUAAAAUCAAUGAGGUGAACCCUUCACUAACCGAAGAUAACCACAAUCUGGAGACCAUCUUGCAUGCUCGAUCCAAGGUUCGUCGUUCGGCUCCCAAGAUCUCAGACCUUGACGACAAUAAAAACAUAAGACAUCAUCAUUUGAUCCAUCACCAAUAUAAAUAAAACCGGCUUCACUCAUAAGUUCUCGCUUUGAAAUAAGUAGUGUAUUACUACAUUUAUCAAAAGUCUUGUUACGCGUUUUACAAUCUAAAUAGUCUAAUGUACAAAAAACAUCACAUUCACUAUUAUA